rnacentral:lncRNA from 1 species
GGCUUACUCUCCUCUCAUUCUCGAUGCAAACAGAGAAUGGAGAGAGAGAGUGAGGGAGGGAGAGAGAGCGGGUGGUCUUUGGUCUUCUCAGCAGGUCUGGGCUCUGACCUGGUUCUGCUAAUAGGUCCAGACUGUUCCUGGGGAGCUGGGUGGAAGAGGUGGAUGGAGGAGGCAGAGAAAGUGGGGCCCAAAGUCUGUGACCCCUUGGCGGCGGGGGCGACGGGAGGAAAUGCAGAGCAGCAGGGGAAGUGGGAGCACCUGUGAAGAACCAGCACCGGAUAACAAAGAUAUGCAGAUGAGGGCGAGGCGGCGAGCUCUGGAUCGGCGCCAGCGAGAUCGACUCUCACAAUAGCAGGG